rnacentral:rRNA from 1 species
UACACGAGCGGCGAACGGGUGAGUAACACGUGGGUGAUCUGCCUCGCACUCUGGGAUAAGCCUGGGAAACUGGGUCUAAUACCGGAUAUGACCUUACAUCGCAUGGUGUUUGGUGGAAAGAUUUAUCGGUGCGAGAUGGGCCCGCGGCCUAUCAGCUUGUUGGUGGGGUAAUGGCCUACCAAGGCGACGACGGGUAGCCGGCCUGAGAGGGCGACCGGCCACACUGGGACUGAGACACGGCCCAGACUCCUACGGGAGGCAGCAGUGGGGAAUAUUGCACAAUGGGCGAAAGCCUGAUGCAGCGACGCCGCGUGAGGGAUGACGGCCUUCGGGUUGUAAACCUCUUUCGACAGGGACGAAGCGCAAGUGACGGUACCUGUAGAAGAAGCACCGGCCAACUACGUGCCAGCAGCCGCGGUAAUACGUAGGGUGCGAGCGUUGUCCGGAAUUACUGGGCGUAAAGAGCUUGUAGGCGGCUUGUCGCGUCGAUCGUGAAAACUUGGGGCUCAACCCCAAGCUUGCGGUCGAUACGGGCAGGCUUGAGUACUUCAGGGGAGACUGGAAUUCCUGGUGUAGCGGUGAAAUGCGCAGAUAUCAGGAGGAACACCGGUGGCGAAGGCGGGUCUCUGGGAAGUAACUGACGCUGAGAAGCGAAAGCGUGGGUAGCGAACAGGAUUAGAUACCCUGGUAGUCCACGCCGUAAACGGUGGGUACUAGG